rnacentral:sRNA from 1 species
GCUGGGCAUCGUGGUGCAUGCCUGUAAUCCCAGUGGCUUAGGAGGCUGAGGCAGGAGGAUUGUGAAUUCAAAGCCAGCCUCAGCAACUUAGUGAGACCCUAAGCAACUCAGUGAGACCCUGUCUCUA